rnacentral:rRNA from 1 species
GACGUGAGGGGCCAGCGUUGGUUCGGAAUUACUGGGUGUAAAGGGUUCGUAGGCGGUGUGGCAAGGUCGGGAGUGAAAUUUCUGGGCUCAACUCAGAGACUGCUUCCGAAACUGCUGUGCUUGAGUGUGGGAGAGGCGCGUGGAAUUGCAGGUGUAGCGGUGAAAUGCGCAGAUAUCAGGAAGAACACCCGUGGCGAAGGCGGCUCUCUGGGACGGUACUGACGCUGAGACGCGAAAGCGUGGGGAGCGAACAGG